GUUUAUCUGGAACCAUAUUUUCCUGGCUGUCAUUACUAAACUUAAAAUUAAUUGUGCUCGACAUUCUCUUAAUCGAGAACAAUUUUACCAAAUUAAUUUUGCCCUCAUGCAUCCUUGUUUGACAAGCGUCUGUGUUGACAAUAUGCACUCCACCAUUCCCACCCCGGUUGUGCGAUUGAUCAAUAUAUUAGAAAUUAGUUGAAAUGGUUGGCUCCCUCAGCAGUUACUCUGAGGCCAUAGUGAGCAGUGAGCAGUAACUAUUGUUUUCGAACACGGCCGUGCUGGCUAGGGACGAGCCGACAAGAACUUGUUGUGGGCCCCUGCC